CUACGGGUUGCACCAGUGAGGAAUAUUGCACAAUGGGGGGAACCCUGAUGCAGCAACGCCGCGUGGAGGAUGACGCAUUUCGGUGUGUAAACUCCUUUUAUAUGUCAAGAAAAUGACGGUAGCAUAUGAAUAAGCGCCGGCUAACUCCGUGCCAGCAGCCGCGGUAAUACGGAGGGCGCAAGCGUUACUCGGAAUCACUGGGCGUAAAGGACGCGUAGGCGGGUUGAAAAGUCAGGUGUGAAAGCCUACAGCUUAACUGUAGAACUGCACUUGAAACUCUCAAUCUAGAGUAUGGGAGGGGCAGAUGGAAUUAGUGGUGUAGGGGUAAAAUCCGUAGAUAUCACUAGGAAUACCUAAAGCGAAGGCGAUCUGCUGGAACAUUACUGACGCUAAGGCGUGAAAGCGUGGGGAGCAAACAGGAUUAGAUACCCGAGUAGUC
rnacentral:rRNA from 1 species